CAUAUACAUUUGUAUUUUUUUAAGAAAAUGACCGAUCGUUUCUCUAGAUAAGACCCUUAUUCCUCGUCUGGUAUCAUUUAAAACCCUUUGAAGCAGCACUGAAACUAAUUUUGACCUUCAACCGUUUGGAGGCCAUUGAAGUCCAUUAUAUGGAGAAAAAUCCUGGAAUGUUUUCAUCAAAAACCUUCAUUUCUUUUCGACUGAAGAAAGAAAGACAUGAACAUCUUGGAUGACAUGGGGGUGAGUAAAUUAUCAGGAAAUUUUCAUUUAGAAGUGAACUAAUCCUUUAACACCGGUGUCUCUUUAUACAAUUAACUGGCCAACCAAUAUCUAACCCAGAGUGGCCAACAGCGUUUAUUCUGGAUGUAUUCAACUCUACGGAGCCCCGCAUAUGACAUACGCAAGAAAAAAAAUUAAAUCAUCCCCUUGAUUUAAGUCAAGUCAUCUUCAUUUAUAUAGCACUUUUCACAAUAUAUAUUGUUUCAAAGCAGCUUCACAGUGACAAUAGGAAAAUUCUUAUCGAGCUAAAGUUGGUUCUUGAUUAAAUCACUUCCGUUGUAAAAAUUGUUAAUUAUUACUUUAAGGGCCGCUUAAAUGAUACCUUUCCUACUGAAAACCGAAUACCUUUAAUGCAUUCUUGCCGUUCAUUUACGUGUUUAGACUAUAGGGUUGCGUGUUUGAGUGUGUGUGUGCACAGAAGUUUUGUCUUUUUUUAAAAGGUGAUAUUUGCCAAAUUACUUGUCUGGUCCGCAUAAUACAGAAAAAUUUGUUGUGUCCGUGGAUCUAUGCGAACUGGAAUAAUUUUGAUAACGUUUUAUCCAUACAUAGGGAAAGGAAAGGGAAGGAGGAUUUCGCAGGGGAUAGAUUAGUUGAAACAUCAGGGCUGCGUUAUCAUCAUGUCUAGAUGCAGGUCCUUCAUCUCAUCUGGAUACGGCCUGGAUCUGGCAGGCUGUGGCAAACCUCGGGAUAAACAGAGAGAGACUAAUAUUAGCGUAGACGCCAUUCUUCUUAUGAUGUAGCGAGUACAUCAGGUGUUAUGGGAAGUGUUCCCGGGUCUGGCUGACCUAAUCUGUGCAGCCUAACAAUUUACAUGAUUUCAAUUAUAGAAGUAGAUAAUGUGUUAUGUGUAUGUAAGUUUAAACAGAUGUGUUUUUAGUCUAGAUUUAAACAAGACUAAAAUCGAUCGCACGAUUUACUAUUUCAUUCCCUUGAUUUAUAAAUCGUGCGCAAAUCGAGGGAACGAAACAGUAAAUCGUGCGCACGUUUUAGUAAAUCGAGGGAACAAAACAGUAAAUUGUGCGCACGUUUUAGUAAUCGCGGGAUCGGAAUAGUAAAUCGCACGCACUUUUUAGUAAUCACGGGAACGAAAUAGUAAAUCGUACGCACGUUUUAGUAAAUCGCGGGAACGAAAUAGUAAAUCAAGGGAACGAAAUAGUAAAUCGUGCGCACGUUUUAGUAAAUCGAGGGAACAAAACAGUAAAUCGUGCGCACGUUUUAGUAAUCGUGGGAUCGGAAUAGUAAAUUGUACGCACGUUUUAGUAAAUCGAGGGAACGAAAUAGUAAAUCGUGCGCAUGUUUUAGUAAUCGCGGGAACGAAAUAGUAAAUCGCGGGAACGAAAUAGUAAAUUGUGCGCACGUUUUAGUAAUCACGGGAACAAAAUAGUAAAUCGUGCGCACGUUUUAGUAAAUUGGGGGAACGAAAUAGUAAAUCGUGCGCACGUUUUAGUUAUCCGGGGAAUGAAAUAGUAAAUCGUACGCACGUUUUAGUAAAUCGCGGAAACAAAAUAGUAAAUCGUGCACACGUUUUAGUAAAUCGCGGGAACAAAAUAGUUAAUUGUGCGCACGUUUUAGUUAUCCGGGGAAUGAAAUAGUAAAUCGUACGCACGUUUUAGUAAAUCGCGGAAACAAAAUAGUAAAUCGUGCACACGUUUUAGUAAAUCGCGGGAACAAAAUAGUUAAUUGUGCGCACGUUUUAGUAAAUUGAGGGAACGAAUUAGUAAAUCAUGCGCACAAUUUAGCGUACUAUUUUUUCCUGCAUGUCAUGUCCGGGGCUCUGUACAACUACAAUGUGUAAAGUAAAAAAAAAAAAUUAAAUAUUACUAACGCAAGAUGCAUGCACUUUUUAAGAAUUUAGAAAAUGGAUGGUUUAUUCAAACACUUUUAUAACUUUUUUAAAAGAAAUAUAUCUUAUUAGAUUCAGUAACAAUAAACCAAAUGCAAAUAACAAUGACAACAACAACAAAAAGAACAUAGAAAUAAUAAGAAAGCUGCACCAUUGUUUGAAACCCAGAGAAAUCAGGUGGUUCAACAAACACUACUAUAUAGGACACACCUGUGUUUUCUCCCAAACGAGGAGGAAUUGAUUAGACUACUGGGAAGUGCACAUGCAAAAUAGGCGUUUAUCAGUCAGUGACCAAUUUCAAACUACAAUAGAUGUUUUUCAACCAUUUUUCAUUAGAUUUGCUACAAAGGACCCACCCCUAAACCAAGCCCCCAGUGGAUUAGAGCAAACCGGGUAAAAUCCCUGAUUGGGAAACAGCCACUAAUGUUCUGCAGAGAUACACACCUGCAUGAUCAUGUGGUCAUCAACUACAAAUCACUGUUAGUUUAAUGUCACUGUCUCCACCCAUGUGUGCUGUUGGCUUUUAACAAAAUUUCAAUGCUGAUCCAACACACUUUAAACAUUGAAAUGUCAAUCUCAACCAAAAUGAUAAUUUGGAUCAAAACUCAACAUUGUAUCAUUGUCACCAUGGAAUCUGGAAUAACAAUCCAUCUGCUUCACUUGAAGUCAUUACCUCCAGAAUUUAACCCUUAAAUUUGUACAAAAGAAUUGAAACCCCAAAAGAGUGAUUAGAACCAUGGCUACAGUAAAUUAAAUUACCCCAUUGAUUCUUCCAGAACUUAACAUCCAGCUCACAAGAAUGUGUUUCCUGAAGGAAAAUUAAAUCAGCUUCGCAGCUUUAGCAAAACAAAAAAAAAGCUUUCCUCUUUACCAAUUCGUGCAUACCUCUUACAUUUAAAGAUUGGCUUCUGACGUCACGCUUGGAUGUGGGCGGAGUUAAAUGUCGGACGUGUCUUUUCUGUCGUCUUCCUACUGAAAUAAACAUUUAGUGCAGCCGCAACAUAUGAGGAAAUUAUGCUGAAUUCAUUCAAACCACAGCGAUUUUGUGUGCUUUUGUGUGAUUGUUUCGAUGUUUUAUAGUGAGAACUGUUACUGAAUGUCAAGUCAAAAGUCAAAGUUUGAGAUCUGUGAGGGGAAUUGAUGGGAAUCGAUCUCAAGUGUUGCUGCUGCCAUUUUAUUUCUACUCUUUUCACACCAAAUUUGUUAGUUACUUUACUGGAACAGUUACUGCUACAUGCUUUACAUUGAGCUUAUGAGCCAUAUGAAAUAUGUAAUCUAGAUCAAUGAUUGUCAAACCUGAGCAUGUGAGCGACAGAGGGGGUACGCGAACAAAAUGCUCGGUUUUGCCAUUCAUUUCAUUCUUCCUCAAUUUAAAAUAACUUAAAAACAGAUGUAUUUCUAACAGGCAAAUGCAGCUUUAUACGGUGAAAUGCAUGACUUCCAAUCUUACCUCAUCUUUUGUGGUCAAAAAUGACUGCAUCCACAUGAGGAGCGUGCAUGAUAUUGCCUUCCAUCGUGCUAUAUUACUGUCACUCAAUGUACCUUUAUAAGUGUGGUUUUAAGCAAGUAUAGCAUAAAGAACAAAUAAAGUGUUUGACAGACCAGUUCGAAGCUCUGACAACAGAGGAGCCUCAGCGUUGCUUGUAAGUAAAACUGGAGCAACGGACAUCCUGCCGGUUUCUAAUAAAUGAGGUGUGAGGGAAACAGCUGUCUCCUGUUGCAGUUAUUAAGAUCAGAUAUAGAGCAAAGUUUGUGUAUCUCUCACUUUGCAAAUGAAAGGAGUUGCAUCAGCAACCAAAACAUGUAUCUUAUGCUUCGCAACAAAAACUUGCUACAGAACACUGGAAAUAAAUGGCCUAAGAUGAGUUUAUAUAAAGGGUUUAUCUAAAGGGUAAGGGUAAUGUUAAGCUUGACUUCUAAGAGCAUCUGGACCAGAACUGAGCUUGGCUCUGAAAUCCCUAACCAACGGACAGUGCUCUCAAUCUGAAGGGAUCGAGGGCUCCAAGCUUGGAAUUUAGUCCAAAUCAUGAGAUCUACCCAUAUCCCCAGGACCCCAGCCAAAAGUGUGGGACGGGGUAGUGGAGGGAUGCAGAAAAUGGUCAAGGUAACUAUAGACCUGAUGGAAGAGAGCGAGGAGAGUGAAGAACUGAGUGAAGUGGAGAAGGAACAUCAUGACAAACCUGGAGAAAAACCUUUGAGUCGCUCAAAGACUAAAAAGACAUUUUUAAAGAAAGGAAGAUGAUCAGUGUGGAAAGAGUUUCUCUAUUAAAACUCACCUGAAGCUACACAUGAAGAUCCAUACAGUGAAGAAAUCACAUCACCACAGUCUAAAAUCAUGACCUGAUGGACGUGAACAAGAAACGAAAAACAGAAGACAAAAGUGUAAAAAAUAAUAAUAUUACAGCAAACAAAAACCCGGCGGUGUGUGUUUAAGAGCAGGAACUCCUUUACUACAGAUGAUGAACUGAAAGAGCACCAGAAAAUUCACACUGGAAAAAAAACCUUUGAAGGAGCUGAAGAAGAGGCCAUGACACUUUUAAGAGAGACAUGAAUCUGAAUGCAUUUCUUCAUCGUUUUUCAUUUGAACAUCUAGUUUCCCUUCCACUUCUACUCUUCCAUGGAAAUCCAAGAUAUUCUUUCACAUAAUUAAGAAACUGGACACUUCUCUUCUUCUCUUGAGAUACUCUGGCUCUCUUAUAAGUCAGUAAAAAGAGAGAUUUGUCUCAUUCAUUCUCACUUUUACUUUUUAUUAUUAUGUUUUUUGUAUUUGCUUCAAGUAGCCUAAUGAUUGAUUAAACUCGAUAUGGUCCAUUUUUAUUCUAAGCACAUACUACUUGUAUCAUUUUAGUUCUGAAUGUCAUGAAGUUAUGAUUGUUUUUGGAGCUUUCCAUGUUUUCAUUUUGCCAAUAGAGCUUUUAAAUGCUUAAUAAAUCAUAUUUCACCCA